rnacentral:lncRNA from 1 species
GGUGGAUAAGUGGAGUGUUGGUGUGAAGGAGGUCCUGUGUUCGAAUCUUGGCAUGGGCAUUAUAUUUGCUCGUGCGUCCAGGAAAGUUUGAGAUGGACUAAAAAUCUGAGUAGUGGAUUUAGUGGGGAGUUUGAUAGAGAGAAAUAAGAGAUUGGGGUGGUUAUCAAAUAUUCUGUUCAUCCUCUUUUUUCCUUUUUUUUUUUACUUUCCCCACAAUCCCUCCACCCUCUUGCCAUUUUUCUCUUCAUUGCUGCCGAAUUUCUACUCUCUUUCACCCAUCUUCUUCUUGAUUUUUCUUUUCCCACUCUGCCUCUUGCCGCUCCACGUUUGUCUACGAUCGUUCAGUAAGUUUUAGAUAAGUG